AGAAUUAAUAUUUUUUAAACUUUUGAAUAUUAUUAAGUUAGUAUAAUGUUUUUUAAGUUUUAUAAUUAAAAAAAAAAUGUUUAAAGCAUUUUGGUGUUAUAAAUCCUUUUUAAAAACAUUCUUAAUGACUUUCUAAUGUACUAAGUGUAGGUUUUUGGUACAUAAUUUUCUUAGUCCUAGUAAUACGUUUUUAAGGGCUUGCCUUUAUAGACUACCUAUAAUUUAGUUAUGACUAUUCAUAAAAAUCCAAAUGUAAUUUUAUAUUUGGAGACUAAUGAAAAAUCAAUAAUUUAAAUUGUUUAAUGAACAUAUUAUUAUGUAGAUUACUUAUUUCUAUCAAUUGAUUUUUAGCUUAAAAACUUGAGUUCAUUAAAAAAGUUGAGCUAAAUUUAAAUUUAAAUUUAAUAUUAUUAUUGAUAAACACGGAAGAUUUAUAUAUUUAUUGUCUAGUGUAUUUUUUGUAUUAGGAUAUAUACUCCAUACGUGCUAAUAAGAAAUAAAACGACCAUGAAAGUUUUUAAACUAUUAUCGUGAUCGAAAUAUCAAUUGUUGAGUGACACAAUCAUAUUUAUAUUAACGAGUUUAAGUCUGAUCACGUAAAUGCGUAGUUAUAAAAUUAAAAUCAAGUAUGGGUACUAUUUAUUUUUAAACAUGGUCUAUUAUGAGGCAAAUUCGUGUCCUUGUCGGUUAUUACAAAGUAGAAUUGCGAACUGUCGUUACUUGAAGUUUCUUAACAAUUUUUCUGUUAUCAAGUAUGAUAUUCGCAAAGAUUAGUGGUGGUCAUAAAGUGGAAAGAACCGGUUUCACUUUUUUAACAAAACAAAAUCAUUGUCCUAUGAGAGCUAGGGAAUAUCAAAACGAUUCCAAGGUUAAAUACUACGUUAUUGAGUAACUAUGUUUUGAUGAUUUCUAUGAAUAAAUUUUAAUCUCACUGAACACAUUUAUAUGUAUAAGAUACGUGUAAAAGAGUAAUUUUUACUAUAGAAUUUUUUUUU